CCAUUCGCCCCACACAAGAAAGCCCAAGAACACAACAAAAAGACACCCACAGGAUUCACAACUACCAACAAACACCCCCCCCCACACUUAAAAUCUGGCACUGUCCUCAGUGCAAACAAAAAGAGAGGUGAAAAAGGAAACUUCCCUAAAUACCGAUCCAGUGGUGAGUCUGUAGUGUCCCACGAUGUCUGCCUCUCUCUCAUCCAUAGAACAAGCAGUCUCCAACGCAACAACCUGCACCAAACAGCAGAAGCAACAAAA
rnacentral:lncRNA from 1 species